CCUACGGGAGGCUGCAGUAGGGAAUAUUGCUCAAUGGGGGAAACCCUGAUGCAGCGACGCCGCGUGUGGGAAGACGGUCUUCUGGAUUGUAAACCACUGUCCCCAGGGACGAAAAUGACGGUACCUGGGGAGGAAGCUCCGGCUAACUACGUGCCAGCAGCCGCGGUAAUACGUAGGGAGCAAGCGUUGUCCGGAAUUACUGGGUGAAAAGGGAGCGUAGGCGGGGAUGCAAGUUGGGUGUCAAAACUACCGGCUCAACCGAUAGUCGCACUCAAAACUGCAGCUCUUGAGUGAAGUAGAGGCAGGCGGAAUUCCUAGUGGAGCGGUGAAAUGCGUAGAUAUUAGGAGGAACACCAGUGGCGAAGGCGGCCUGCUGGGCUUUUACUGACGCUGAGGCUCGAAAGUGUGGGGAGCAAACAGGAUUAGAUACCCUAGUAGUC
rnacentral:rRNA from 1 species